rnacentral:rRNA from 1 species
UACGAAGGGGGCUAGCGUUGCUCGGAAUCACUGGGCGUAAAGGGUGCGUAGGCGGGUUUUUAAGUCAGGGGUGAAAUCCUGGAGCUCAACUCCAGAACUGCCUUUGAUACUGAAGAUCUUGAGUCCGGGAGAGGGAAGUGGAAUUUCCGGUGUAGCGGUGAAAUGCGUAGAUAUCGGAAGGAACAUCAGUGGCGAAAGCGACUUCCUGGACCAAUACUGACGCUCAUGUGCGAAAGCGUGGGGAGCAAACAGG